AAAAGAGGGCUCAGUCAACUUCAAAGCCCAGACUCUACCAAGCCUCUCAUGUAACUGAUCAGUCCUCUGCAGAAUUUCUCCUUGCCUGCCAUGGGGACUAUUUGGACCUUGACCAGAAUGUGGCAAGUUUUAACUAGGUGUGCUCUGGUCUGCUUGCUAAAAGAGAUCUGAUGUUAUUUUCACUAGAGCCGAAGCUUUGAAGACCUCAAAGUUGGAACAGAACAGAACAUGGAAUUUUAAAGACAAGAAUGCUUCAGACAGAAUUUCAGAACAACAACAACAAAAAGUGAUGAUACAAAGAAGAAAGAAAAUAGGCAAAAGAAGAAUGUUCUUGAGAAGAGAAGGUAUAAGAGACAUGACUUUCCAGGCCAGCUCACCCAUUCUCAUGAUGGAUUUAUAUAAUUCAUCAAGGAACAAAUACAUUUUACUUUAUAUAAACUGGGGAGUAGAAAAGUAUUACAGUUGCCAUUAUAGUCCUGGAUUGCUCAUUCUACGGGGAGCCAUCUUCAAUAUGGUGCAGAGACUCAAGAAGACCUGUGAAAAGUUCUACAUAGAGAGGAAACAAAUUUCCUGACACCAACAGUCAUACAUGUGCAAAAGACCCCUUGAAAAUGGAUCCUCUGGUCCCAGUCAAGACCCAAAGUCAAGACUUUGGAUAAUUCUAUCUUUAAUCAUCUUGUGAGAAAUUGAGAACACAUAUCUGAGAUGCUGCAAAUUUGUAUACUCAAAAAUAUCAUGGGAAAUAAUAAAUUAUUAUUGUUUGUGUAAGCUACUUGUUAUACAGCAACAGAUAAGUAAUACAGAUUUUUAAAAAUGUUAAUUACUUUAUAUACAACUGAAGUCAAAG
rnacentral:lncRNA from 1 species